AUUGAACGCUGGCGGCAGGCCUAACACAUGCAAGUCGAGCGGAUGACGGGAGCUUGCUCCUUGAUUCAGCGGCGGACGGGUGAGUAAUGCCUAGGAAUCUGCCUGGUAGUGGGGGACAACGUUUCGAAAGGAACGCUAAUACCGCAUACGUCCUACGGGAGAAAGCAGGGGACCUUCGGGCCUUGCGCUAUCAGAUGCGCCUAGGUCGGAUUAGCUAGUUGGUGGGGUAAUGGCUCACCAAGGCGACGAUCCGUAACUGGUCUGAGAGGAUGAUCAGUCAAACUGGAACUGAGACACGGUCCAGACUCCUACGGGAGGCAGCAGUGGGGAAUAUUGGACAAUGGGCGAAAGCCUGAUCCAGCCAUGCCGUGUGUGUGAAGAAGGUCUUCGGAUUGUAAAGCACUUUAAGUUGGGAGGAAGGGCAGUAAGUUAAUACCUUGCUGUUUUGACGUUACCGACAGAAUAAGCACCGGCUAACUCUGUGCCAGCAGCCGCAGUAA
rnacentral:rRNA from 1 species